rnacentral:lncRNA from 1 species
ACAACCUUCUCUUCAUUCUUCUUUACAUUUAUAGUGUGGGCAAAGAGAAUCAAUUCAUUAGACUUAGCGCAGCCAGGGGCCUAUUUGGCCCACUUUAAGUAAAUGUGCUGCUGAGUCUGUCUAAAAUGUAAAAUUCCAUGCUUAAUUAUUUUUAAAAAAUCCCUUCUUGCUUUGCUUCUUGGCAAGUGCAAGUGUCAGUCUAUUAAUAGUACUUUGCCUUGAACAACAAUCAUCUGACAGUUGUCUAGAUGAAAGAUUUGAGGUGAUAGAUCUAUACUACAUAAUUUUUCAUAAUUUUUCACCCCUGACCAUAAGCCUUUGCACCUUGUAUCCUUUGAUUGCUUUAAAGUUAGUCUCAAAAGACAUGAUGGAGUUUCUGUUCUAACUAAGUAUUAGGGGGAAAACAGUAGCUCUGCUUCCUUCAAACUGGGAAACUUCUGUUAAUCUCUCAAUUUAUUAUACAGUAGUCUCACCUUUAUCACUUAUUCUGUACAUAAAUAGUAAAUUAGCACUUAGAGGAAAGUUAAAGUAACAGUUCUGCAUUUGAUGUCACAAUUAGUUCAACAGUCAUGAAUCAACUCAAAUUUUAUUAUCAUUUGUUCUGUUGAACAAGAAGGCAACCAUAUUUCCAUUACUGGCUGUAGUUUAUUUUUUCUAAGUUCUCCUAUGCAGCUUCAGAAACAAUGUCAAGAGAGCCAAAAUCCUCUUGAAACUCAGAUUUUAUCAUGGCACUAAUAAAAUAAUUCAAGACCUGUGGCUAAGGAGAGGAAGUAAAUGUUGCUAUAAUACUUACAAAGUUCCAAACUCUAUGUCACUACUAAUGAAUUCUUCCAACAGGCUUGUAUCCACCAUGGGAUUUUCCAAGGCUCCAUGGACAUCUUGCCCUAAGGUCGAAAGUAAAAAAGACAGAAAUUCAGAGGGAAUUGUCAGUGUUUCAGAAUAAGUGAUGCUGCUGAUGGUCCUACACAAAGGAAAACAAAAUCUGUCCUGUCCCAUGUGUUAAAAAAGAAUUAUGCUUCUGGUUUAGUCACUCUGGGAAAAAGGAUGAUGAGUAAUGCAGAGUAAUUAACUAUGUGCAGGGGCACUGCAGAUGACAGUGCAGCACCAGGACAACACCACUGAAUGCAUGGCAUUAAGGCUUCAGGGAAUUACUCCAGCAGAAGGAUGAAAGACCCCAGUCUGCAACUGAGAAAAAGGGUUUUGAAACUUUUUUACAUUGAGAUCUUGGGUUGAAGCUCAGACAUUCUCUUACACAGAUCCACUUGGUGCAUUAAUGCUCACAAAUACUGCAAGUGAGUUUCUGAUAUAGAACUCCAUUUUAAAAUCUACCAUCUGAGUUUAAAUAAAGCCCAAAUAAAGCUUAAAAAAUGUUUGAUUGGUGGCUUCCUUUUAUUCUGCCUAAAAAAACCGGCCCGCUAACGUGUUAAAUGUAUUAGCAAAUAGAAAGGUUCAGUACUUUGUCCUUUGUUGCUUAGUAACUUAAGGCUAUAAACAGAUUUUAUGAUUAUAAAGUUUCCGGUAUUCAUGACAACUUUUGUAGAAAGUCAACGGGCACUCAUUUAAAAACCCAGCCAAGGAGCCCUACUCUGCAGGUUCCCCCAGUCUGCAGCAGGCCUUCCAUAAAUGCAGGUGUGGCCAGUCGGAAUGCAAACAAGAUAAGGACCUUGGCAUUCCUGCUUGAGCUGCAAGUGCCUCUGUCCCACUUUACACGUUAUUAAAUAGACCAGCCCACACAGCCAGAGAUGUGAGGCUCAGCCCUGGAAUCUGACACCAACCAUGUCCCUCCCGCUCAGCAGCAGUGUGUGAGAACACAAAAGGUUAAUCUCUGCCUCUGAGCCAAGGAGUAGUUACUGCCCUUGGUGCAUUUGCUGUCUUCUCACUGUGCUACCUUGCAUAGGACACUUACCCUAAUAUAUCUUCAGUUCCUUUUCUGAUGUCUUUGUCUGAUGCUGUACCUUCUUGAUCCAGUAUUUAGAAAGGACAUUCAUGCAAGCAGAAUCUAAAAAUCUACCACCUUGCACAGGACUCCCUCAGUACAUAAAUCCACACUGCUAAUAAACAUUUCCCAAAUUUCUUUGUGAUCGUAGAUUAAUCUAUGUAUUGUUUAUUUUUGGUGCUGCAGGCUUCAUUUUGACUGCCUUUCACUGAGGGAUAGCAACUUGGAGGUGUGCUACUGAUAGAUCCUUGCAUCUCAAUUUACUGAUGUUGUAUACAGAACUGUGCCACGCACACCAGACAAGAGAUUCAAUAGGUGCAGCCCACUAGCUUAUCUCAGCAAAACUGCAACACACAAAUUCUGGAAGCAGCAGCG